AGUGAACGCUGGCGGUAGGCCUAACACAUGCAAGUCGAACGGCAGCACAGUAAGAGCUUGCUCUUACGGGUGGCGAGUGGCGGAUGGGUGAGGAAUACAUCGGAAUCUACUUUUUCGUGCGGGAUAACGCAGGGACACUUACGCUAAUACCGCAUACGACCUACGGGUGAAAGCAUGGGAUCUUCGGACCUUGCGCGAUUCAAUGAGCGGAUGUCGGAUUAGCUAGUUGGCGGGGUAAAGGCCCACCAAGGCGACGAUCCGUAGCUGGUCUGAGAGGAUGAUCAGCCACACUGGAACUGAGACACGGUCCAGACUCCUACGGGAGGCAGCAGUGGGGAAUAUUGGACAAUGGGCGCAAGCCUGAUCCAGCCAUGCCGCGUGGGUGAAGAAGGCCUUCGGGUUGUAAAGCCCUUUUGUUGGGGAAGAAAAGCAGCAAGUUAAUACCCCGCUGUUCUGACGGUACCCAAAGAAUAAGCACCGGCUAACUUCGUG
rnacentral:rRNA from 1 species